AGAUGGUUUUUGUGAUGAAAUCGAAAACGGCCUAUACACCAGAUGUCAUGAUAAGGGUAAACGAUGUGGAGAUAACUUCUGUACUACGUUUAGUAAAUGUGUAGAUGGCACGUGCAUGCCUAUCAAUGGCUGUGAUGAACAGGAUGAAGGUAAUGAUUGUACUGAUGUUGGCGGCAAGUGUUCAAACGGUGUUUGUCACGAACAAUGUAAAGACGAAAAGAAUUGCAUGGGGUACCCUUGUGUUAAGGGAUUUUGUGCAGAAGCCUAUUGUGAAGAGUCGAUUUGUUUUGGUUAUAAAUAACCUGUAUCUCCUUAAACCAACAAGAUACAAACAACUUCACCUGUAUCUCUUUAAAGUAACCAGUUAAACCAACAACUACUAUAUAUUUACCUGUAUACCUUUAAAUAGCUAGAUACAAACAACUACAACUUCACCUGUACACCUUUAAAG